rnacentral:sRNA from 2 species
AUGGACCACGCGUCCACUGCGUUCUGAGCGCGCCGUCCGCGCCCACCUGACGGCUGCUCGCGACGUUUAUUAGCC